rnacentral:miRNA from 1 species
CGUGAAUUGAUUCCACGGUGGAG